ACUGGAACUUACUGUAGGAUGUUCUGUGGACAUGAACAUGGUCACUGAUACAUGGUGGCUAGAGUUGGGAUCGAGAAGGGGACCAUGAGCUGGGGAUCAGUUCAGAGACUUGGAAGACCAAUCUCCAGGUCUGGGAUGUUAGAUGUUCCUUAAAAGGAGGAAGGAGUUUCCCAAAAAUGAAAGAGGAAUGUUUUUGGAGAACUCCGAGUGCUUUCUCUUCAUUCUGCCCCAUCCCCACCCCUGUGAGCAGCUCUACUGGCCAGUAUAUGAUUGUUACCUGCAAGUAUACUCAGCUCGGUGCAGAAGGCUGGAGAAUCAGAGAAGAGCAUGCUCUCUCUUAAAAAAGAAAAAAAGAAAAACAAUGCAUAGGGGACAGAAGUCUCAGUUUGGAUUGAACACAGCAAAUCAUGUACAAGAGAACAAAUAAUCUAAAACCACAAUGUGAAAGCAAGGAAAGAACUGGUAAUUAUACAAGUCACAAAGGACCACGGUGAUUGAACUGAAGUCCCUUGAUCAUUUCUUCUCAAGCUCGCCUGUGAAAAUAAAAGUAUCUCCAAAGUCCCCUCAAAAGCUUUGAAUAGGACACACUUUGUUGGCCCGCAUCCAGCCAGAACACAGGGAUCUGUAAUUUCAGAAUGUAGUUUUCUUGUUUGUAUCGUAG